rnacentral:rRNA from 1 species
CCUACGGGAGGCAGCAGUGAGGAAUAUUGGUCAAUGGGCGAGAGCCUGAACCAGCCAAGUCGCGUGAGGGAGUACUGCCCUAUGGGUUGUAAACCUCUUUUGUCGGGGAGCAAAAGCCGGACGUGUCCGGCUGUGAGAGUACCCGAAGAAAAAGCAUCGGCUAACUCCGUGCCAGCAGCCGCGGUAAUACGGAGGAUGCGAGCGUUAUCCGGAUGUAUGGGGUUUAAAGGGUGCGCAGGCGGAUUUUUAAGUCAGCGGUCAAAUCGUGGGGCUCAACCCCAUCCAGCCGUGGAAACUGGGGAUCUAGAGUGUGCGAGAGGUAUGCGGAAUGCGUGGUGUAGCGGUGAAAUGCAUAGAUAUCACGCAGAACCCCGAUUGCGAAGGCAGCAUACCGGUGCACAACUGACGCUCAGGCACGAAAGCGUGGGUAUCGAACAGGAUUAGAUACCCCUGUAGUC